UACAGAGGUCUCAAGCGUUGUUCGGAUUCAUUGGGCGUAAAGGGUGCGUAGGCGGCGCGGUAAGUCGGAUGUGAAAUCUCGGAGCUUAACUUCGAAACUGCAUUCGAUACUGCCGUGCUUGAGGACUGGAGAGGAGACUGGAAUUUACGGUGUAGCGGUGAAAUGCGUAGAUAUCGUAAGGAAGACCAGUGGCGAAGGCGGUGUCUGGACAGUU
rnacentral:rRNA from 1 species